AUGAACCUCUUCUGAUUCCUGGGAGACCUCUCCCACCUCCUAGCCAUCAUCUUGCUACUGCUCAAAAUCUGGAAGUCCCGAUCAUGUCUGGGGAUUUCAGGGAAGAGCCAGGUUCUGUUUGCCGUAGUGUUCACUGCCCACUGCUUGGACCUGUUCACCAACUACAUCUCACUCUACAUGUAACACCUGCAUGAAGGUAGUCUACAUAGCUUGUUCCUUUACCACUGUGUGGAUGAUCUACAGCAAGUUCAAAGCUACUUAUGAUGGUAACCAUGACACGUUCCGGGUGGAGUUCCUUGUUGUUCCCACAGCCAUUCUGGCAUUCCUGGUCAAUCAUGAUUUCACCCCUCUGGAGAUCCUCUGGACCUUCUCCAUCUACCUGGAGUCAGUGGCCAUCUUGCCACAGCUGUUUAUGGUGAGCAAGACAGGCAAGGCGGAGACCAUCACCAGCCACUACUUGUUUGCACUUGGUGUCUACCGUACACUCUCUCUCUUCGACUGGAUCUGGCACCACCACUUCGAAGGUUUCUUCGACUUCAUUGCCAUCGUGGCCGGCCUUGUCCAGACAGUUCUCUACUGCGAUUUCUUCUACCUCUAUAUCACCAAAGCCCUAAAGGGGAAGAAGCUAAGCUUGCCAGCAUAGCCCUGGCCUUAUCAGCCUUCUCUGAGGCAGGGCAGGAGGCAGAGGAGGGCUGCCCAAGACCAAGAGCCUUCCCAUCCAGGGAUGACUUUUUAAAGAGCCCACCCCUCCCCGCUCCCCACUCCCUCCUGUU